AUACGGAGGAUGCGAGCGUUAUCCGGAUUUAUUGGGUUUAAAGGGAGCGUAGGGGGGAUAUUAAGUCAGCUGUGAAAGUUUGGGGCUCAACCUUAAAAUUGCAGUUGAUACUGGUUUCCUUGAGUACGGUAUAGGUGGGCGGAAUUCGUGGUGUAGCGGUGAAAUGCUUAGAUAUCACGAAGAACUCCGAUCGCGAAGGCAGCUCACCGGGCCGGAACUGACACUGAUGCUCGAAAGUGCGGGUAUCAAACAGGAUUAGAUACCCUGGUAGUCCGCACAGUAAACGAUGAAUACUCGCUGUUUGCGAUACACGGUAAGCGGCCAAGCGAAAGCGUUAAGUAUUCCACCUGGGGAGUACGCCGGCAACGGUGAAACUCAAAUGAAUUGACGGGG
rnacentral:rRNA from 1 species